AGAGUUUGAUCAUGGCUCAGGAUGAACGCUAGCGGCAGGCCUAACACAUGCAAGUCGAACGGUAACAGAUCUCGCUUGCGAGAUGCUGACGAGUGGCGCACGGGUGCGUAACGCGUAUGCAAUCUACCUUUAACUGAGGAAUAGCCCAGAGAAAUUUGGAUUAAUACCUCAUAGUAUUAUUUAUAGGCAUCUAUUUAUAAUUAAAACUCCGGUGGUUAAAGAUGAGCAUGCGUCCUAUUAGCUAGUUGGUAAGGUAAAAGCUUACCAAGGCUACGAUAGGUAGGGGGCCUGAGAGGGUGACCCCCCACACUGGUACUGAGACACGGACCAGACUCCUACGGGAGGCAGCAGUGAGGAAUAUUGCGCAAUGGAGGAAACUCUGACGCAGCCAUGCCGCGUGCAGGAUGAAUGCCCUAUGGGUUGUAAACUGCUUUUUUGCAAGAAGAAACCUUAGUACGUGUACUAAACUGACGGUAUUGCAGGAAUAAGCACCGGCUAACUCCGUGCCAGCAGCCGCGGUAAUACGGAGGGUGCAAGCGUUAUCCGGAUUUAUUGGGUUUAAAGGGUCCGCAGGCGGAACUUUAAGUCAGUGGUGAAAGCCUACAGCUUAACUGUAGAACUGCCAUUGAUACUGAAGUUCUUGAGUGUG
rnacentral:rRNA from 1 species